rnacentral:rRNA from 1 species
AUUGAACGCUGGCGGCAGGCUUAACACAUGCAAGUCGAGCGGGGUGAUGGUGCUUGCACUAUCACUUAGCGGCGGACGGGUGAGUAAUGCUUAGGAAUCUGCCUAUUAGUGGGGGACAACAUCUCGAAAGGGAUGCUAAUACCGCAUACGUCCUACGGGAGAAAGCAGGGGAUCGCUUGUGACCUUGCGCUAAUAGAUGAGCCUAAGUCGGAUUAGCUAGUUGGUGGGGUAAAGGCCUACCAAGGCGACGAUCUGUAGCGGGUCUGAGAGGAUGAUCCGCCACACUGGGACUGAGACACGGCCCAGACUCCUACGGGAGGCAGCAGUGGGGAAUAUUGGACAAUGGGGGGAACCCUGAUCCAGCCAUGCCGCGUGUGUGAAGAAGGCCUUAUGGUUGUAAAGCACUUUAAGCGAGGAGGAGGCUCUUUUGGUUAAUACCCAAGAUGAGUGGACGUUACUCGCAGAAUAAGCACCGGCUAACUCCGUGCCAGCAGCCGCCGUAA